rnacentral:rRNA from 1 species
UACGGAGGAUGCAAGCGUUAUCCGGAUUUAUUGGGUUUAAAGGGUGCGCAGGUUGUUUGAUAAGUCAGUGGUGAAAGUCUGUCGCUUAACGGUAGGAUUGCCAUUGAUACUGUUGGACUUGAAUAUGGAUGUGGUAGGCGGAAUGUGUAGUGUAGCGGUGAAAUGCUUAGAUAUGACGCAGAACUCCGAUUGCGAAGGCAGCUUACUGGGAUGCAACUGACGCUGAGGCACGAAAGCGUGGGGAUCGAACA